GGAUGUGAGGGUGAUCUGGCUGUGACAUCUGUCACCCGUCGAUCUCCAGGGUCGAUUCGGCUAAUCUGGCUGGCUAAACGGUUGUCCCCUUCCGCCUCACCACUCCAUGUGCGUCCCUUCCAAAGCUGCGUGCUCUAAGAGGACGACCAUUUCCUCAAUAGAGGACCAUUUUCCGAUAGAGUAGGACCAUUCCCUCAGUCAAGGGCAUACAAAUCUCUGCGCUCCCCUGCUAGAACCUCCAAACAAGCUCUCAAGAGCAUAUCUAGUUUCCUCUUUUUAAAUAUUUGUUAAAGUUACUUUAAAAUAAACACAUUACUUUAGAUUCUUUAAAGUUGAAUUCCUGCCUUUUAAA
rnacentral:snRNA from 1 species